UUUGUUUGAAAACAAAGGACUUUUGGU
rnacentral:piRNA from 1 species